UACGGAGGAUGCGAGCGUUAUCCGGAUUUAUUGGGUUUAAAUGGUGCGUAGGCGGAUUUUUAAGUCAGCGGUAAAAUGUCCGGGCUCAACCCGGGCCGGCCGUUGAAACUGGGGAUCUUGAGUGGGCGAGAAGUAUGCGGAAUGCGUGGUGUAGCGGUGAAAUGCAUAGAUAUCACGCAGAACUCCGAUUGCGGAGGCAGCAUACCGGCGCCCGACUGACGCUGAGGCACGAAAGCGUGGGGAUCGAACAGG
rnacentral:rRNA from 1 species